rnacentral:rRNA from 1 species
UACGGAGGGGGCUAGCGUUGUUCGGAAUUACUGGGCGUAAAGCGCGUGUAGGCGGCCCGCUAAGUCUGAUGUGAAAGCCCGGGGCUCACCCCCGGAAGUGCAUUGGAGACUGGCGGGCUCGAGUCCCGGAGAGGAGGGUGGAAUUCCUGGUGUAGCGGUGAAAUGCGUAGAUAUCAGGAGGAACACCGGUGGCGAAGGCGGUUCUCUGGGCAUUACCUGACGCUGAGGAGCGAAAGUGUGGGGAGCGAACAGG